GAAAUGCGAUAAGUAAUGUGAAUUGCAGAAUUCAGUGAAUCAUCGAAUCUUUGAACGCACCUUGCGCCCGCCAGUAUUCUGGCGGGCAUGCCUGUCCGAGCGUCAUUUCAACCAUCAAGCCCCCGGGCUUGUGUUGGGGACCUGCGGCUGCCCGCAGGCCCCGAAAACCAGUGGCGGGCUCGCUGUCACACCGAGCGUAGUAGCAAUCACCUCGCUCAGGGCGUGCUGCGGGUUCCGGCCGUUAAACAGCCUUACAAAACCCAAGGUUGACCUCGGAUCAGGUAGGAAGACCCGCUGAACUUAAGC
rnacentral:misc_RNA from 1 species